UGCGACAAUACUUCAGAGAAUCAUUUCUAUAGUAGUUGUCCUCUCUUGUGUUCCCUAAAGGAGCCACAGAUCCCACCCGGGUUGAUGAACGAUAUCCUCGAUGCCCUACUGUGAGGUCCUUUUCUUACUCUCGCUCUGCCUGCAAAGGUGGCGGUCCGGCCUCGAGCCGUGGCUGUAUAGAGAGUGGCGAUGAUCGGUACCCCGGUAUCUUGGGGUCUUGCCUUCGGGCGCUCAAGCGGGGUGGGUGUCGAUGGAAGUCUGACCGGC
rnacentral:snoRNA from 1 species